UUGUAUAAAAUCAUUAUCUGUAUAAAAUAACCGAGUUGUCUCUCAAAUGAAAACAGCAAAUUCAUGUCCUCAGUUAACCAAUUCUCCUCAGGAAAAAAUGCCAGAUGUUCUCUGUGGUUUCUUUAGAAUAACUGCAGCGGUGGACAAAGUUGAGCUGCUGUGGCAGCAGGCUUUUUCCAAGGCCCAUCUGCAGCUUCAGGUCUUACAGCUGCGCCAUGGUGCGCUGCAGAUUAUUGUGAAGAUGGAAAGUCUUCAAGAAAAGCUUCGGCUUUACAAAAUGGAGAUGGCAAAGGAUUCUGCAGCGGCAGAAAUGGUGCUGUCUGAGUUUGAGGCAUCGAUUUCCACUCCUGCUAUGGCUUUGGUUCGCUCUGCUGAGGAUGUGAUCGACAUGUUAAAAAAAUUUUACCAGUGAAAUUCCAAACCAGGGAGUGCUGGGCUCUGGGUCUAGAGAAGCUAAAGGAGGAACUUCGUUCUGCUGUGAAUUUCAUUCAUCAAACCCUCAGUGCAGUUUGCGACUACCAUAACUAUUACAA